rnacentral:rRNA from 1 species
CCUACGGGAGGCAGCAGUGGGGAAUAUUGGACAAUGGGCGGAAGCCUGAUCCAGCAACGCCGCGUGAGGGAUGACGGCCUUCGGGUUGUAAACCUCUUUCACCAUUGACGAAGUCGCAUUCUUUUGGGUGUGGUGACGGUAGGUGGGGAAGAAGCACCGGCCAACUACGUGCCAGCAGCCGCGGUAAUACGUAGGGUGCGAGCGUUGUCCGGAAUUAUUGGGCGUAAAGGGCUCGUAGGCGGUUUGUCGCGUCGGGAGUGAAAAACCUUGGGCUUAACCCAGGGCUUGCUUUCGAUACGGGCAGACUAGAGGUAUGCAGGGGAGAACGGAAUUCCUGGUGUAGCGGUGAAAUGCGCAGAUAUCAGGAGGAACACCGGUGGCGAAGGCGGUUCUCUGGGCAUGAUCUGACGCUGAGGAGCGAAAAGUGUGGGGAGCGAACAGGAUUAGAUACCCUGGUAGUCCACACCGUAAAACGUUGGGCGCUAGGUGUGGGGUCCAUUCCACGGGUUCCGUGCGCAGCUAACGCAUUAAGCGCCCCGCCCUCGGGGAGGUACGGCCGGCCAAGGACGUAAAACUUAAAAAUUAAGAAUUAGUACGGCGNGAGACGAGCCGAACGACGACACGAGGGAAGGUAGG